rnacentral:misc_RNA from 1 species
UUUCCGUAGGUGAACCUGCGGAAGGAUCAUUACAGAGUUGCAAAACUCCCAAACCAUUGUGAACGUUACCUAUCCCGUUGCUUCGGCGGGCGGCCCGGGCCCCGCGCCCGGCGCCCCCCGGCCCCCCGUGGGCGCCCGCCGGAGGUAAACCAAACCCUUGAAUUGCAUGGCCUCUCUGAGUCUUCUGUACUGAAUAAGUCAAAACUUUCAACAACGGAUCUCUUGGUUCUG